rnacentral:ncRNA from 1 species
AAAAUGCCUGAGAACGGGAAAAGUAAAUUGAUGUGGUCUGUACAGAGAGUCCGGAAGCGGUGUGAUCCGGGCCGGCAGCAUCAUUUGAAAAUCACCCGGGAGGCGCCGGCUGAAACUUGUAACUUUAAGGAGUAGGUCUGGCCGGUUGCACCACCGUUAACGGUGUUUAGAGUGUUCAGGGAAUUAACCUGUUCAUGAGGGUGGUACCGCGGGAGUAGGCCCGUCCCUUUG